CGGGCGCCGCCCGAGUCCCCCACGGCACGCGUGCAUCUCACAGCACCCCCUCGCGGCCCGGAGGUACGCCGCCGAGGGAUGGGCGCCAGUUGAACUGGGGCGGCCGGGRGCAGCACCGUCGGGUUUGAGGGGUCAGGAAAGUUAGCUCCUUGCUUGGUAAGGAGGGCCUCAACCUGAGCCCCGCUUUGGGUGCCGCAGCCGUCGGGGCUGCCUGACUCGGUGGCGGGAAGCGGCGGCGCGUGGUGUCCUGCUGUCAGCGCGUGCUGCCCGGCCAGGUGCGCUGCAGAGGCCCUGCUCAGGCCCGGGCCAGGGGCCCCAAGUACCUAACCAGUACCCGGGGCCCGCCGGGGAAUGGGCGCCUGCGGCCGACUGGCUCGCCGGCCUUCUUCCUGCCCUCUCCCUGCCUGUUCAGCUCGGCCACCUGUUUUCAUCCGAGUCCUGGCGUGUUGCGUCUACUCCCGAUGGAGACAGAACCGUCCACGUUCCUCUGACCCAUCUGUUUGUGGCCUUUUCUCGGGCAUCUAUUUCCCUUCUUUGCAUCUCCUUCAAAGACUCCUCUAUUCCUGUGCUUCUGUUAUGCUGCUCUCCUCUAAGGUCUAACUCGGCCCUUGCUGACCACCGUCCGGACUGCCUCCCGCUAACGGGAAAUCUUUCUACAUGCCAGAUACUACUUGGUGUCUCACAAUAGCUCAGCGAGGGAGGAAUGGUCGUCCCUGUUCUGCAGGUUAGAACGCUGACUUUGGAGAGGCUGAGUGGCGUGCUCAACACCAUUCUAGGGACUGACUGAUGCCAGGCCACUGAACUCCAAAGCUGCUCUUUCUGUUUUGCUGUUUUCAAGGAGUCACUUUGUUCUUGACCUUUGAUGUUAUUAAUUUUUGGUAUUCAAAUGGCAKUGCAUGGUAGAUUACAUGUGGAGUCAUAUCUGUAAAUAAUUUGUAAAUAGGUGUUUGGCUAAAGCACCAUAUGUAUACAUAGGCAGAGUUUCUUUUGUGUAAAUGCUCUGUUUUCGUUCUUACAUUAUACUCAGGUGGGACCAUUGCUUCCUGUGUUGAUGAACUUCUGCCCUUGCUCAUGCCAGCAGUUGUUGAUAAGAGGUGUUUCUAUUUGUUAAUUAUAGCGCCAACAUAUGAAUCCCUCUAUUAUACUAACACAUUGAUGCCAUUCUUUCCAUUUUGCAAUAACCUAAAGGACCUUUAAGUUUACUAAAUAUCUUGCAACCUCUUUCUUAGAGAAGAUUUGUGAUAAUA
rnacentral:lncRNA from 1 species